rnacentral:rRNA from 1 species
ACGGAGGAUGCAAGCGUUAUCCGGAAUUAUUGGGCGUAAAGCGUCCGCAGGUGGCAUUUCAAGUCUGCUGUCAAAGACCGGGGCUUAACCCCAGAAAGGCAGUGGAAACUGAAAAGCUAGAGAGAGGUAGGGGCAGAGGGAAUUCCCAGUGUAGCGGUGAAAUGCGUAGAGAUUGGGAAGAACACCGGUGGCGAAAGCGCUCUGCUGGGCCGCAACUGACACUAAUGGACGAAAGCUAGGGGAGCGAAUGGGA